rnacentral:rRNA from 1 species
AUUGAACGCUGGCGGCAGGCCUAACACAUGCAAGUCGAGCGGAGCGGCGGACGGGUGAGUAACUCCUAGGAAUCUGCCUGGUAUUUGGGGAUAACGUCCGGUAACGGGCGCUAAUACCGCAUACUAUCAGAUGAGCCUAGGUCGGAUUAGCUAGUUGGUGGGGUAAAGGCCUACCAAGGCGACGAUCCGUAACUGGUCUGAGAGGAUGAUCAGUCAAACGGGAACUGAGAAACGGUCCAGAAUCCUACGGUAGUCAGCAGUGGGUAAUAGUGGACAAUGGGCGAAAGCCUGAUCCAGCCAUGCCGCGUGUGUGAAGAAGGUCUUCGGAUUGUAAAGCACUUUAAGUUGGGAGGCGUUACCAACAGAAUAAGCACCGGCUAACUUCGUGCCAGCCGCCGCGGUAAUA